rnacentral:lncRNA from 1 species
CGGGGUGGAGCCAGUGGUCUAGUGGCGGCUUCUCGCCACUACUUUUCUGCUCAGAGUCGUCAGAUUUAAGGGCGGAGUCACUAGGAAACUUUUAAGGAUGUCACAGCAAGUUAAAAGUUUAAUUGGAGUCUGCUCUUGACUUAGUGAUGCCUGGCACAUGGGAUUGAACUUGGGACCAUGUACUUGUGAAGCAGGCGUCAAUCCCCAGCCUCACAUGGAACUUAAAAUAACAGGAACCUCUAAAAAAUGAAGAGGAAUAGGCCUUAUCCUGUUUCAGUGAGCUAGGACCUUUCUCUUGAUUACUUCUCCAGGUGUGCUCCCUGUGGUGUCUGGCUGGAGAGCAUUGGUCUUCCUGCCCACCCGUCUUUAUCAGAGCAGGUGCAGCAUGAUGAGGCUUCCUGCCAACACUUUGCCAGUCCUGGAGAUACAGGUGGUGUUUUAUGAAACCUGGACUUUUCCUCUCCCCAACUCCUGUAGUUUAUUUGCACACUGCAAUCAUCCGGUAUCUGCUGAUGCUGCCUUUGUUGCUUUGCUGGAUUUGCCUCACCCAGAACCUUCAAAGUCACACACUACUCCACUCCAGGCCACAAGCCCAACAGAUGGUGCCACUCACAAUCAAGGUAAACCUUUCCCAGAAGACUUUAUCCUGUCUCAUUGGCCAAGAUCAAGGAGGAGAAAUCUGCCCAGCAUUCACAGUGUGCUUGAGAAACCCUAUAAAAUAAAAUAAUUUGCCCAUUUCAUAGCCGAAGAAACUGAGCCUCAAAAGGUUCCACUGAUUGGCAGUUGUGAAACAGCUAAUGCAUGAAUCUAGGAUUUAUAUCUUCACUUUCAUAGGCAUAAUCAUGCUUAAAGCAAAAGGUGAGAAAAAAGAAAAAAGAAGAAAGAAAGAAAGAAAAAAGGAAAAAUUUGCACUGGAUUGAUCAGACCCUUCUAUGAGCAUGGCAGAGGAGAAGCUGCUCAUGUCCUGGCAGCUGGGAGGCAGAGUGAAGAGAGGAGGUAGAGAAGAAGAAAACCCUCACAGGCCAGCCCCUCGGUGAUCCACUUCUUCUGACCAGAUUCCACGUCCUAACAGGAAGUUGGCUGCAUUUGUGCUGUGUGGGAAAGAUGGCAAUGGUCAUUUGUCACCUGAUGUGGAGUUUGUGAAUGGAAGCAAAAUUUUGCCAAACACUUUUGUUUGCAAAAGACACAGAUAGACCAUUAUCUGGGACUUGCAAAUAAGAAUGUUAAAGAUGCUAUGGCUAAUCACAACUGAGACCUCAAUGA